UUAAGCGACUAAGCGUACACGGUGGAUGCCCUGGCAGUCAGAGGCGAUGAAGGACGUGCUAAUCUGCGAUAAGCGUCGGUAAGGUGAUAUGAACCGUUAUAACCGGCGAUUUCCGAAUGGGGAAACCCAGUGUGAUUCGACACACUAUCAUUAACUGAAUCCAUAGGUUAAUGAGGCGAACCGGGGGAACUGAAACAUCUAAGUACCCCGAGGAAAAGAAAUCAACCGAGAUUCCCCAAGUAGCGGCGAGCGAACGGGGAGCAGCCCAGAGCCUGAAUCAGUGUGUGUGUUAGUGGAAGCGUCUGGAAAGGCGCGCGAUACAGGGUGACAGCCCCGUACACAAAAAUGCACAUGCUGUGAGCUCGAUGAGUAGGGCGGGACACGUGGUAUCCUGUCUGAAUAUGGGGGGACCAUCCUCCAAGGCUAAAUACUCCUGACUGACCGAUAGUGAACCAGUACCGUGAGGGAAAGGCGAAAAGAACCCCGGCGAGGGGAGUGAAAAAGAACCUGAAACCGUGUACGUACAAGCAGUGGGAGCACGCUUAGGCGUGUGACUGCGUACCUUUUGUAUAAUGGGUCAGCGACUUAUAUUCUGUAGCAAGGUUAACCGAAUAGGGGAGCCGAAGGGAAACCGAGUCUUAACUGGGCGUUAAGUUGCAGGGUAUAGACCCGAAACCCGGUGAUCUAGCCAUGGGCAGGUUGAAGGUUGGGUAACACUAACUGGAGGACCGAACCGACUAAUGUUGAAAAAUUAGCGGAUGACUUGUGGCUGGGGGUGAAAGGCCAAUCAAACCGGGAGAUAGCUGGUUCUCCCCGAAAGCUAUUUAGGUAGCGCCUCGUGAAUUCAUCUCCGGGGGUAGAGCACUGUUUCGGCAAGGGGGUCAUCCCGACUUACCAACCCGAUGCAAACUGCGAAUACCGGAGAAUGUUAUCACGGGAGACACACGGCGGGUGCUAACGUCCGUCGUGAAGAGGGAAACAACCCAGACCGCCAGCUAAGGUCCCAAAGUCAUGGUUAAGUGGGAAACGAUGUGGGAAGGCCCAGACAGCCAGGAUGUUGGCUUAGAAGCAGCCAUCAUUUAAAGAAAGCGUAAUAGCUCACUGGUCGAGUCGGCCUGCGCGGAAGAUGUAACGGGGCUAAACCAUGCACCGAAGCUGCGGCAGCGACGCUUAUGCGUUGUUGGGUAGGGGAGCGUUCUGUAAGCCUGUGAAGGUGUACUGUGAGGUAUGCUGGAGGUAUCAGAAGUGCGAAUGCUGACAUAAGUAACGAUAAAGCGGGUGAAAAGCCCGCUCGCCGGAAGACCAAGGGUUCCUGUCCAACGUUAAUCGGGGCAGGGUGAGUCGACCCCUAAGGCGAGGCCGAAAGGCGUAGUCGAUGGGAAACAGGUUAAUAUUCCUGUACUUGGUGUUACUGCGAAGGGGGGACGGAGAAGGCUAUGUUGGCCGGGCGACGGUUGUCCCGGUUUAAGCGUGUAGGCUGGUUUUCCAGGCAAAUCCGGAAAAUCAAGGCUGAGGCGUGAUGACGAGGCACUACGGUGCUGAAGCAACAAAUGCCCUGCUUCCAGGAAAAGCCUCUAAGCAUCAGGUAACAUCAAAUCGUACCCCAAACCGACACAGGUGGUCAGGUAGAGAAUACCAAGGCGCUUGAGAGAACUCGGGUGAAGGAACUAGGCAAAAUGGUGCCGUAACUUCGGGAGAAGGCACGCUGAUAUGUAGGUGAAGCGACUUGCUCGUGGAGCUGAAAUCAGUCGAAGAUACCAGCUGGCUGCAACUGUUUAUUAAAAACACAGCACUGUGCAAACACGAAAGUGGACGUAUACGGUGUGACGCCUGCCCGGUGCCGGAAGGUUAAUUGAUGGGGUCAGCGCAAGCGAAGCUCUUGAUCGAAGCCCCGGUAAACGGCGGCCGUAACUAUAACGGUCCUAAGGUAGCGAAAUUCCUUGUCGGGUAAGUUCCGACCUGCACGAAUGGCGUAAUGAUGGCCAGGCUGUCUCCACCCGAGACUCAGUGAAAUUGAACUCGCUGUGAAGAUGCAGUGUACCCGCGGCAAGACGGAAAGACCCCGUGAACCUUUACUAUAGCUUGACACUGAACAUUGAGCCUUGAUGUGUAGGAUAGGUGGGAGGCUUUGAAGUGUGGACGCCAGUCUGCAUGGAGCCGACCUUGAAAUACCACCCUUUAAUGUUUGAUGUUCUAACGUGGACCCGUAAUCCGGGUUGCGGACAGUGUCUGGUGGGUAGUUUGACUGGGGCGGUCUCCUCCUAAAGAGUAACGGAGGAGCACGAAGGUUGGCUAAUCCUGGUCGGACAUCAGGAGGUUAGUGCAAUGGCAUAAGCCAGCUUGACUGCGAGCGUGACGGCGCGAGCAGGUGCGAAAGCAGGUCAUAGUGAUCCGGUGGUUCUGAAUGGAAGGGCCAUCGCUCAACGGAUAAAAGGUACUCCGGGGAUAACAGGCUGAUACCGCCCAAGAGUUCAUAUCGACGGCGGUGUUUGGCACCUCGAUGUCGGCUCAUCACAUCCUGGGGCUGAAGUAGGUCCCAAGGGUAUGGCUGUUCGCCAUUUAAAGUGGUACGCGAGCUGGGUUUAGAACGUCGUGAGACAGUUCGGUCCCUAUCUGCCGUGGGCGCUGGAGAACUGAGGGGGGCUGCUCCUAGUACGAGAGGACCGGAGUGGACGCAUCACUGGUGUUCGGGUUGUCAUGCCAAUGGCACUGCCCGGUAGCUAAAUGCGGAAGAGAUAAGUGCUGAAAGCAUCUAAGCACGAAACUUGCCCCGAGAUGAGUUCUCCCUGACUCCUUGAGAGUCCUGAAGGAACGUUGAAGACGACGACGUUGAUAGGCCGGGUGUGUAAGCGCAGCGAUGCGUUGAGCUAACCGGUACUAAUGAACCGUGAGGCUUAACCUU
rnacentral:rRNA from 1 species